AGCAGUCGCCGCGGGAAUACGUAGGGUGCGAGCGUUAAUCGGAAUUACUGGGCGUAAAGCGUGCGCAGGCGGUUAUAUAAGACAGUUGUGAAAUCCCCGGGCUCAACCUGGGAACUGCAUCUGUGACUGUAUAGCUAGAGUACGGUAGAGGGGGAUGGAAUUCCGCGUGUAGCAGUGAAAUGCGUAGAUAUGCGGAGGAACACCGAUGGCGAAGGCAAUCCCCUGGACCUGUACUGACGCUCAUGCACGAAAGCGUGGGGAGCAAACAGGAUUAGAUACCCGCGUAGUCCCUGUCUCUUAUAC
rnacentral:rRNA from 1 species